rnacentral:lncRNA from 1 species
GAAGGAGAAUCAGAUUGUUAUUCUUUAUCUUAUGGGGCGCAUCUCCUGUUUUAUUUAGUGAGAUAUGAUUGUUAUCUCAUAUCUUAUCUGGUAACAUGUAUUUGUUAUCUUCUGUGCGAGAUAUGUUUGUUAUCUUUUGUUGUAUCUGAUGAUAUUUAUUUAUUAUCUCAGUGAUCAUGGAUUCUCUAGCCCGCGCAAUUUGGGUAGCAGUUCAAAAAUAAAAUUUAUUAAAAAUAUGAGGUUGGGGUAGUUGGGAAAGUAAUUCGGAUAGAUCAUAACCAAAGAUCAGCC